UCGCUGAAACAGUGGCUUAUGGGGGCGCC
rnacentral:sRNA from 1 species